GACAGUAUAUAUUUAACCUGCCCGUGAUAUUAUAACAAUGAGGUCUAACACAGUAAAUUACAGACCUACAACUAUCUCCCCCGUGAUAUUAUAACACUUAAUGAGGUCUAACACAGUAAAUUACAGACCUACAGACAGUAAAUCUCCCCCAUGAUAUUAUAACACUUAAUGAGGUCUAACACAGUAAAUUACAGACCUACAGACAGUAUAUCUACCCCAUGAUAUUAUAACACUUAAUGAGGUCUAACACAGUAAAUUACAGACCUACAGACAGUA